UAUUAUCUGAUGGUAGUUUGUAUUUCUGUGGAAUAAGUGGUGAUAUUCCUUAUAUCAUUUUUAUUGCAUCUAUUUGAUUCUUCUCUCUUUUCUUCUGUAUUAGUCUGGCUAGCCAUCUAUCUAUUUUGUUGAUCUUUUCAAAAAACCAGCCCCUGGAAUCAUUAAUUAUUUGAAGAGUUUUUCCUGUCUCUAUCUCCUUCAGUUCUGCUCUGAUCUUAGUUACUU
rnacentral:lncRNA from 1 species